CUUGUAGUCGUCGGUAGCCGAGCGCCAGUGCGGCUCCUCCAGCACCUCGAAGAUCGCCGCCCCAAUGGACAGGUAGAAGAUGAUGGCCGAGGUUCAGCGGAUUUUCUGGCUUUUGACACUGGAAGGCGGUGAAACGAGAGCUGCCUCUCCCGGCUCCAGCAAGGCAGAGGGGGAAGGCGAGCAGGAGAAAAUAAGGGGGGCUGUCGGCAGGGUUCACCUCUUCCCCGGGAUGUUGUCUACCUAUUACAGGUCCUUCGCAGCAGGAACUGAAUCUCCCUUCAUACGUGUGCUUUGUACAUUUCAAUAAAUAAAUGCUCCUAUACACA